AUCAUUUUAACAGUAGCUUGAAUAUAAAUUUUAAAUCUGUUCUUAUCACUUUAAUAGUGGCUACUUCCUCUAUCCGAGGACUAUCUAUUCAGCUGAUUUUUGGAAUUGGGAGAUGGAAUAGCAGCUUGCUCCACCCACAGCACACAUCGCCCUGUUGCUGCAGGACUGAUUCCCCAGGGACGGUGGACCUCCC